rnacentral:rRNA from 1 species
CCUACGGGCGGCAGCAGUGGGGAAUAUUGGACAAUGGGGGCAACCCUGAUCCAGCCAUGCCGCGUGUGUGAAGAAGGCCCUCGGGUUGUAAAGCACUUUCAGUGAGGAAGAACGCCUGGUGGUUAAUACCCAUCAGGAAAGACAUCACUCACAGAAGAAGCACCGGCUAACUCCGUGCCAGCAGCCGCGGUAAUACGGAGGGUGCGAGCGUUAAUCGGAAUUACUGGGCGUAAAGCGCGCGUAGGUGGCUUGAUAAGCCGGUUGUGAAAGCCCCGGGCUCAACCUGGGAACGGCAUCCGGAACUGUCAAGCUAGAGUGCAGGAGAGGAAGGUAGAAUUCCCGGUGUAGCGGUGAAAUGCGUAGAGAUCGGGAGGAAUACCAGUGGCGAAGGCGGCCUUCUGGACUGACACUGACACUGAGGUGCGAAGGCGUGGGUAGCAAACAGGAUUAGAUACCCCUGUAGUC